rnacentral:lncRNA from 1 species
GUCAGUGAGUGAGACAGAGGCUUUGGGCCCAAGUGGGCGGGGCAGCAACUAACGAAGAGAAGAGACCUGUGUGGAGAAAGCACCACAGGCCAGCCAGGCCACCAGCUCGCAAGGACAGCUGGGCCUCAGUCCCCCGGACCCCGGCCUCCCGACCUGCCUUCCCUCCACUUGCAGCUGAGCACAGCUGGAGACACUUGGAGGGGGCUUGUGCGGGACAUAUCAGCACACCCACGGCCAUCAGGACCGGGUCAGAGAUGCCCACCAAGGACCCCAUCCAGAGGCCUGGGGAAGGCAGAGUCGCACACCUGCAGGAAACUUGAGUUUUUCCCGCCGUCACUGUUCCUGUGGAGUUCUGGGCUCAGGGACAGGUCUGGUGACAGAAGAGAAUUAAAUUCUAAAUGUAGAGAAUUAAAUUCUAAAUGUGAUCCUCUGUGGUUCCAGACCCAAGUCCUCUCUCCUCACAGGUCCAGUGUGAGCCCCACCAGCCUCCUGAUUCUCACAUUCCCAGUUUAUAUUCAGCAUGUAAACCUGCAAGGCAGGUGAGGGAAACAUGCAAAGAGGACAUUGCUUUGCUGCUUUCAGCAAAAACACAAAGGAAAAAACUUGUGAAGUUACACAGAGAUCUGGAAUUAGAAUGGCUUCAAAUUGAACAGAAAAUGUUCUCACAUCAUCCCCGUGGCCCAGGUAACAGGAGUCAGGAAGGUCUCAGUGGACAAUGCGCUGACAUGAGCUAUACACGUCCCCAGGCCAGUUCCUGCAUGUGGCAUUUACAGCUGCGAUGUCUCAGAGAGAUGGGUCCCAGGGAAGGUGGAAUGCAGGGCAGAAAACAGAAGCAGAAAGAGGGGGAAGUGUGUGAGAACAAGGGUGGCUAAGUCCUCCUGGGGCAGGAUGGCCCAGGAAGAAGCCCAUCCCUGAAUGUGCUACAAAACCUUUCAUUGUGGCCUCUGCCUGUCCCACCCUGUGCCAAAAUAAACCCCCAGGCCAUCCUGAAGAAGCAAGACCUUUCAUUUCACACACAAGUGGCAACUCGUCCCGCUGCCCACAUUGACUGGCC